rnacentral:rRNA from 1 species
CCUUACAAGGAUAACUGUGGUAAUUCUAGAGCUAAUACAUGCAAGAAACCCCGACCUUGCGGGACGGGUGCACUUAUUAGAGCAAAACCAAUCGGCUUCGGCCGUCACAUUGGUGAAUCUGAAUAACUGAGCGGAUCGCACUGGUCUUAGUACCGGCGACAUAUCCUUCAAGUGUCUGCCUUAUCAACUUUCGAUGGUAGUUUACAUGCCUACCAUGGUUGUAACGGGUAACGGAAAAUCAGGGUUUGAUUCCGGAGAGGGCGCCUGAGAAAUGGCGACCACUUCUAAGGAAGGCAGCAGGCGCGUAACUUACCCACUCUCAGAUCGAGGAGGUAGUGACGAAAAAUAUCGAGCCGGCGGCUUUUGGCUGCCGGCAUCGGAAUGAGAACAAUAUAAACGUGUUAUCGAGUAACUAGCAGAGGGCAAGUCUGGUGCCAGCAGCCGCGGUAAUUCCAGCUCUGCAAGUGUAUAUCAAUGUUGCUGCGGUUAAAAAGCUCGUAGUUGGAUCUGCGCGACCAGGGUCCGGUCCAGCCAUGUGCUGCGCACUGGCACCCGUCGCUUACCACUGCCGGUCUCGCCCCAAUGCCCUUAACCGGGUGUUGGCGGCCGGCUGGCGAGUUUACUUUGAAAAAAUUAGAGUGCUCAAAACAGGCGCUUUGCCUGAAUACUUCUGCAUGGAAUAAUGGAAGAGGACCUCGGUUCUGUUUUGUUGGUUUUAAGAGCGCGAGGUAAUGAUUAAGAGGAACAGACGGGGGCAUUCGUAUUCCGACGUUAGAGGUGAAAUUCUUGGAUCGU